AGGAUGAACGCUAGCGACAGGCUUAACACAUGCAAGUCGAGGGGCAGCACAGGUAGCAAUACCGGGUGGCGACCGGCGCACGGGUGAGUAACGCGUAUGCAACUUGCCUAUCAGAGGGGGAUAACCCGGCGAAAGUCGGACUAAUACCGCAUGAAGCAGGGGCCCCGCAUGGGGAUAUUUGCUAAAGAUUCAUCGCUGAUAGAUAGGCAUGCGUUCCAUUAGGCAGUUGGCGGGGUAACGGCCCACCAAACCGACGAUGGAUAGGGGUUCUGAGAGGAAGGUCCCCCACAUUGGUACUGAGACACGGACCAAACUCCUACGGGAGGCAGCAGUGAGGAAUAUUGGUCAAUGGGCGUAAGCCUGAACCAGCCAAGUCGCGUGAGGGAUGAAGGUUCUAUGGAUCGUAAACCUCUUUUAUAAGGGAAUAAAGUGCGGGACGUGUCCCGUUUUGUAUGUACCUUAUGAAUAAGGAUCGGCUAACUCCGUGCCAGCAGCCGCGGUAAUACGGAGGAUCCGAGCGUUAUCCGGAUUUAUUGGGUUUAAAGGGUGCGUAGGCGGCCUUUUAAGUCAGCGGUGAAAGUCUGUGGCUCAACCAUAGAAUUGCCGUUGAAACUGGGGGGCUUGAGUAUGUUUGAGGCAGGCGGAAUGCGUGGUGUAGCGGUGAAAUGCAUAGAUAUCACGCAGAACCCCGAUUGCGAAGGCAGCCUGCCAAGCCAUUACUGACGCUGAUGCACGAAAGCGUGGGGAUCAAACAGGAUUAGAUACCCCCUGGUAGUCCACGCAGUAAACGAUGAUCACUAGCUGUUUGCGAUACACUGUAAGCGGCACAGCGAAAGCGUUAAGUGAUCCACCUGGGGAGUACGCCGGCAACGGUGAAACUCAAAGGAAUUGACGGGGGCCCGCACAAGCGGAGGAACAUGUGGUUUAAUUCGAUGAUACGCGAGGAACCUUACCCGGGUUUGAACGCAUUCGGACCGAGGUGGAAACACCUUUUCUAGCAAUAGCCGUUUGCGAGGUGCUGCAUGGUUGUCGUCAGCUCGUGCCGUGAGGUGUCGGCUUAAGUGCCAUAACGAGCGCAACCCUUGCCACUAGUUACUAACAGGUAAAGCUGAGGACUCUGGUGGGACUGCCAGCGUAAGCUGCGAGGAAGGCGGGGAUGACGUCAAAUCAGCACGGCCCUUACAUCCGGGGCGACACACGUGUUACAAUGGCGUGGACAAAGGGAAGCCACCUGGCGACAGGGAGCGAAUCCCCAAACCACGUCUCAGUUCGGAUCGGAGUCUGCAACCCGACUCCGUGAAGCUGGAUUCGCUAGUAAUCGCGCAUCAGCCAUGGCGCGGUGAAUACGUUCCCGGGCCUUGUACACACCGCCCGUCAAGCCAUGGGAGCCGGGGGUACCUGAAGUCCGUAACCGCGAGGAUCGGCCUAGGGUAAAACUGGUGACUGGGGCUA
rnacentral:rRNA from 1 species